CAGGAGUCCAUCAUACGGCAACAAGACGAUUAUCGAAGGAAUAUAAAUUCUUUCGAAGUUUCAGCGCGAAGGUGGAGAACUGGCCUAUGCGAAAGGCGGAAGCACUUUGGCGUCGAAUGCGCGAGCGUAAAAUUGCAGGCGUCCUUUAACUCUUGACGGAUAUACUGGUCGUCCUCGCGAGAAAAUUUCUUCGUCAAUUACACCUGCGCGAGGAAGAGGCAAUAAGGAAACGUAUAUAUGAAAUUUACGAAAUGUCAAUGUAACGGAAUGCAACGUAAAGAUAAUUUCAGAAGGAGACGAAGUUGUGUCCUUUUUUUCUUCUUUUCUCCUUUUUCUUUUUUCACCUGAAAAUUCGUGUGUCCCCGAAGAUGAGAUCACGAAAUAAAAAAUCUUGAAAUACGAGGAUCGUCAACAAUAAGAACUUUGGGAAAUAAAUUCAAUUAUCAUUGCUGAUCAUUCGAUAUUGUAAGUACCAGACGAUUACGGAUGAACGUUCCAGUAUAGUAGUCGCUAGUGAAACACUAAAU